GAUGAAUGCUGGCGGCGUGCCUAAUACAUGCAAGUCGAGCGAACAGACGAGGAGCUUGCUCCUCUGACGUUAGCGGCGGACGGGUGAGUAACACGUGGAUAACCUACCUAUAAGACUGGGAUAACUUCGGGAAACCGGAGCUAAUACCGGAUAAUAUAUUGAACCGCAUGGUUCAAUAGUGAAAGACGGUUUUGCUGUCACUUAUAGCUGGAUCCGCGCCGCAUUAGCUAGUUGGUAAGGUAACGGCUUACCAAGGCAACGAUGCGUAGCCGACCUGAGAGGGUGAUCGGCCACACUGGAACUGAGACACGGUCCAGACUCCGACGGGAGGCAGCAGCAGGGAAUCUUCCGCAUGGGGCGAAAGCCUGACGCAGCAACGCCGCGUGAGUGAUGAAGGUCUUCGGAUCUUAAAACUCUGUUAUUUGGGAAGAACAAAUGUGUAAGUAACUAUGCACGUCUUGACGGUACCUAAUCAGAAAGCCACGGCUAACUACGUG
rnacentral:rRNA from 1 species